AUACGGAGGGUGCAAGCGUUAUUCGGAAUCACUGGGCGUAAAGGACGCGUAGGCGGGUUGGCAAGUCAGAUGUGAAAUCCUACAGCGUAACUGUAGAACUGCAUUUGAAACUGCUAACCUAGAGUAUGGGAGGGGGAGAUGGAAUUAGUGGUGUAGGGGUAAAAUCCGUAGAUAUCACUAGGAAUACCGAAAGCGAAGGCGAUCUCCUGGAACAUAACUGACGCUAAGGCGUGAAAGCGUGGGGAGCAAACAGGAUUAGAAACCCUAGUAGUCC
rnacentral:rRNA from 1 species